rnacentral:rRNA from 2 species
CCUACAAGUCGAGCAGGGACGAAAGUCGGGCUUAGUGAUCCGGUGGUUCCGCAUGGAAGGGCCAUCGCUCAACGGAUAAAAGCUACCCCGGGGAUAACAGGCUUAUCUCCCCCAAGAGUCCACAUCGACGGGGAGGUUUGGCACCUCGAUGUCGGCUCAUCGCAUCCUGGGGCUGUAGUCGGUCCCAAGGGUUGGGCUGUUCGCCCAUUAAAGCGGUACGCGAGCUGGGUUCAGAACGUCGUGAGACAGUUCGGUCCCUAUCCGUCGUGGGCGUAGGAAAUUUGAGAGGAGCUGUCCUUAGUACGAGAGGACCGGGAUGGACACACCGCUGGUGUACCAGUUGUCUUGCCAAAGGCAUCGCUGGGUAGCUAUGUGUGGACGGGAUAAGUGCUGAAAGCAUCUAAGCAUGAAGCCCCCCUCAAGAUGAGAUUUCCCAUAGCGCAAGCUAGUAAGAUCCCUGAAAGAUGAUCAGGUUGAUAGGUCAGAGGUGGAAGCGUGGCGACAUGUGUAGCUGACUGAUACUAAUCGAUCGAGGACUUAACCAAAC